rnacentral:rRNA from 1 species
UACGGAGGGUGCGAGCGUUGUCCGGAAUCACUGGGCGUAAAGAGCUCGUAGGCGGUCUGUCGCGUCGGCUGUGAAAACUCGGGGCUCAACUCCGAGCUUGCAGUCGAUACGGGCAGGCUAGAGUUCGGCAGGGGAGACUGGAAUUCCUGGUGUAGCGGUGAAAUGCGCAGAUAUCAGGAGGAACACCGAUGGCGAAGGCAGGUCUCUGGGCUGUAACUGACGCUGAGGAGCGAAAGCAUGGGGAGCGAACAGG